GAGUUUGAUCCUGGCUCAGAUUGAACGCUGGCGGCAUGCCUUACACAUGCAAGUCGAACGGCAGCACGGGAGCUUGCUCCUGGUGGCGAGUGGCGAACGGGUGGGUAAUGCAUCGGAACGUAUCCUGGAGUGGGGGAUAACGUAGCGAAAGUUACGCUAAUACCGCAUAUUCUGUGAGCAGGAAAGCGGGGGACCUUCGGGCCUCGCGCUCUUGGAGCGGCCGAUGUCGGAUUAGCUAGUUGGUGAGGUAAAGGCUCACCAAGGCGACGAUCCGUAGCAGGUCUGAGAGGAUGAUCUGCCACACUGGAACUGAGACACGGUCCAGACUCCUACGGGAGGCAGCAGUGGGGAAUUUUGGACAAUGGGGGCAACCCUGAUCCAGCCAUGCCGCGUGAGUGAAGAAGGCCUGGUU
rnacentral:rRNA from 1 species